AGUGAACGCUGGCGGUAGGCCUAACACAUGCAAGUCGAACGGCAGCACAGUAAGAGCUUGCUCUUACGGGUGGCGAGUGGCGGACGGGUGAGGAAUACAUCGGAAUCUACUUUUUCGUGGGGGAUAACGUAGGGAAACUUACGCUAAUACCGCAUACGACCUACGGGUGAAAGCAGGGGAUCUUCGGACCUUGCGCGAUUGAAUGAGCCGAUGUCGGAUUAGCUAGUUGGCGGGGUAAAGGCCCACCAAGGCGACGAUCCGUAGCUGGUCUGAGAGGAUGAUCAGCCACACUGGAACUGGGACACGGUCCAGACUCCUACGGGAGGCAGCAGAGGGGAACAUUGGACAAUGGGCGCAAGCCUGAUCCAGCCAUACCGCGUGGGUGAAGAAGGCCUUCGGGUUGGAAAGCCCUUUUGUUGGGAAAGAAAAGCAGCAGGUUAAUACCCCGCUGUUCUGACGGUACCCAAAGAAUAAGCACCGGCUAACUUCGUG
rnacentral:rRNA from 1 species